CCUCUAUCUCAGACAGGACAGCAGCAGCAGCAACAGGACACACACCCACACACAUGCACACACAUACACAUAUGCACACUCAGACUGCUCCAGGAAAGAUGCUCCAACAAGCAGUCCGAGUGGAAUCUGAUGUUUUCGACAGAUGGCAUUUAUCGUUUGGGACAUGCUGGGCUCAGCGGGACCUGAAGCUUAAGAGAGACAAGACAAAGCCACUAUGACCUGUCAUGCCUGGGUCAAGAUUUAGGACAUUCUCCACCAAUGAAGGUCUCCAUAGCAAACUGAGGACCUUAUUCUGAGGACUGAGGACAUGAAGCGAUAUCUUCAUAAAAUAUCAGUGUUUUAAACAAAUAAAUGUAGUUAGAAGUAUAAUAUUAACCUUGAGCUUAUGUAGCCAUCAAACUCUUUAUGCUCUUUACCAUGCUCUUUUAUAUUAAUUAUUUAUUAGUAAUAACACAAGAGGAAAUAGUAUAGUGUAGUCAAGUAACCUAUUCAUGUUCACUGAUUCAUUUUCAAUUUAAGAACAACCUCCAUUUAAGAAGCUACUCCUGUUCAGUUCGUUAAGAGUAGGGGAGACCAGGGACAGUUGUAACAGGGGACGGUUGUGACACCUUGAAUUCCUCCAAUCAGAAACAACCUAGAGUGAUGACACUCGCUGUGCACAUGCUCAGUUAGUUUCCCUCCAUUUUUGCUAUAAAGGGAGACACAUUUGAAUCUUCCUGACAGAGUUAUCUACAAAAUAUUGUUUUUGAGGUAAAAAAUUUACUUUUCUUUCUGAUGUACUUUUAGGAUCAAAUGUCCAUGAAUUCAAACAAGGAUUAUUAGAACACCUAUUUUGUAAGCUAAAAAUAUACAGUAAAUUGCUAAGAAGUGUCAAACUAGCAGUCAAGCUAGCUCACAUGAGAUGACAUGCGUUACAACCGUCCCUGUACACUGGGACGGUUGUAACAGUGGAGAGACUGUAGUAAAAUCCAUUUUUCAACCUGUACAUAUUUCAUAAAACCACUUAAAUACAUUGUUUCAGCGGUUGACAGGUUGAAGUUUAUGAUAUAACAAAUUGGUUAUUCAAAAAAAAAAGGUUUUUGAUGUAGUGCUAAAAAUUGCAAAAAGUGUUACAACUGUCCCUCGUCUCCACUACUAACUCUGCUCCACUAAUGCUCACCAUGGUUGCAGAGUGUCUUUUGAGUUAACAUCGUCUUCCUGUCAUCUUUGUCUGUUUUUCUGACAAACAUUUGAAAUACGAAAAAAACAUCCUAAUUAAUUUCACCAAUUGGUGUCAAAGUUGUUGAGCUCAGUGGGGAGUUUUUUGUAUCAAGAGAGAAUUCCUUUAGACUUAUUGACUACUUGGCAACCUUGAAAUUGUCCUUGCUGCAAUUCUUCUAGAAUUAAAGUGAUUAUUUUAAAACAAUGAAGAUGCUAAAACUUAUUUUACUAGUUAUAGAGAGAGAGAGAGAGAGAGAGAGAGAGAGAGAGAGAGAGAGAGAGAGAGAGAGAGAGAGAGAGAAAGAGCAUUCUUAGCAUUCGCACUAAGGACAGAUUACAUAAUCUCUGCAGGCAACUGUGACCGUGAUGUUGUAUCUCACAUUCACCUGGAGAGAUUGUGCAGUCGGUCUACAUUGUCUUCCACAUCGGUGACAUAUUCUCUCAAGAAACAUCACGGGGAUGCUGAAUUGCUGAGAUUAGAUCAUUACCUGCCCACUUCCCUACUAUACAAGAGUAAUUGACUAGUGUUUAUCUGAAUGACAGGGAAGAGAGGAAGACCAUCCCACUAACCCAUAAUCAUGAAAACUUCUACCCAAUAUAAAUUCACACUCUGUCAACGAUAGGGCCAACCAGUAGACCAAUGGCCAUCUUAGAGUUCUACCUUUUACUUGUUCAUGCAAACAGUUAGCUAAUUUUGCUGUCAUGCUAUGCAUAAAAUAGACUAUAAGUCAUUAAGCUACAACAUAUCUGGUGAAAUGUACUGUAUGUGUAUACCUGGGCAAUCACAAGCAUAUGUGCUUUUUAAACAUCCCAUUUUACAUUUAGUUCUUCUUUGCUGUUAUAAUAAUCUACAAUCUUCUGAGAAAGCAUUUCAGUACAUGGUGUUGAAUGUCUGUAGGGAUUUGUGUUCAUUCAGUCACAAGAGCAUUAGCAAGUUCAGGCACUAAUGUUGGGUGAAAAGGAAUGGGGUUGGCUUCCUCCACACUAUUGUCUUGAUGGACCUUGUUGGAAGAAGUUUGGGUCAGUAAAGGGAAACCAUAAUGCUACAGCACACAAAGACAUUUUAGAGAAGUGUUUGCUUCUUACUUUGUGGCACGGGUUUAGGAAAGAACCUCAAAUUAGUGUGAUGGCCAGGUGUUUACAUGAUUAUGGCUAAAGGCCCUAGAGUGUAGCACCAUGUUAUGAGUCUUCUAUAAUCUUCUUUUUCAGAUGCUUCAUCUUGAUGUCAAGUUUUCUCUAUAACUGUUCAGUGUCUUACGUCUUUGUUGUGGUGUUGAAGCCCUUUUGUUCUCAGUGAAGAGGCUUCAUGUACCCUGACAACUCCAUCAGACAGAGCUCAGAUCUGUGAAGAUCUGGGAUCUCAAUUGGUAAUUGUGAGUCUUUCUUUAAACAUCUCUCACAAUAGGUGCUGGAAUAUGACUAAACAUUGUCACUUGUUUGCAGUGUAAAGGUAAAUUCAAGCCCAGCUAAUUAAAGUAGAUGUCACAAUGAUUCCAAAAUGAUCUUGUUUCAAGGCUUUUUCCAUUCUAAAAGUGUUUAAUGAACAAUUAUCCUACCUUUUCUUUUCUUUUUUUUUAAGGAUGGAAGAAUCUAAUGAGAAAAUUAAGGAGACAAGAGCUUUCAGAUGCUGAUGAUACUGCAUCAGGAACUGAUUGGAUGUUACAGAGAAACCAUCAGUCCUUGAUGCAUUGCCUUCAGCAUCGAAAGAGACACCAUCCAAGCCUUAAGGGCACAUUCUGUACACCUUUGACUGUUUGUAAGCUAUUUAUAUGGAUCUGUCUUAUG